rnacentral:tRNA from 1 species
GGAGGGGUUCCCGAGCGGCCAAAGGGGGCAGACUGUAAAUCUGUUGGCUCAGCCUUCGAAGCCUUCUCCCUCCACCA